UAAUUCCAAAAUGGAAAAAUGUGGUUCCUUACGAGGGUCAUCCAAUCUGUGAGGUCAGAUGUCUUAAUCCAUGUGACAGCUUAGGAGUACAUGAAAGAUCCCAUGGCAUAAUAUCUAAGAGCAGAUGAAUUCUUCCAAGAGCCCAGGCAAAUAUUUAUCCCUCAGCCAAUUCUUAAAAACAGAUUAUCAGAUUUAUUUUUUGAACUGACUUCAAACGUGCAAACUGCUGUGAUGGGAUUGAACUGACUUCAACUGGAUUACAUAAAUACUAUCCAACUAUAUGAAAUCAACCAACAACAUCAGACAUCUACUUCACAUGAAUCUCUUAC